AGUAGACGGGCGCACGGGUGAGUAACGCGUGGGUAACCUACCUCCGGGCGGGGGAUAACUACUCGAAAGGGUGGCUAAUACCGCAUGAGACCACGGGGGUCUUCGGAUCCUGAGGCCAAAGGUGGCACCGGCUUGCCGGUGCUGUCACCUGGAGAUGGGCCCGCGUACGAUUAGCUAGUUGGUGAGGUAACGGCUCACCAAGGCUGCGAUCGUUAGCUGGUCUGAGAGGAUGGCCAGCCACACUGGAACUGAAACACGGUCCAGACUCCUACGGGAGGCAGCAGUCGGGAAUUUUGCGCAAUGGACGAAAGUCUGACGCAGCAACGCCGCGUGAGGGAUGACGGCCUUCGGGUUGUAAACCUCUUUUGUCAGGGACGAUGAUGACGGUACCUGACGAAUAAGCCACGGCUAACUACGUGCCAGCAGCCGCGGUAA
rnacentral:rRNA from 1 species